rnacentral:lncRNA from 1 species
AGUUCCAGGAUCCAUACAGUGUGUCCAGACAGGAAAAAGAUCAGAAGCAGAACUAGAAACAAAGAUAAAGCAAGAUUCAUCCAUAGGACCAGACAGCAUAGCUCAGAUGGGAGUGGCUGCCCAGGCUAGAGCUUAAAUGGAGCUCUUGUGCUCUUUGAGUGGGUAGGGGAGAUCCCAGGUGACAUUGGCCAGGGUUGUUAAAGCUAGUUUGUGACACAAUUGCCCAUCAUGACAUUCUGAUUCCAUUCUGAUUCCAUCCUGGAGCUACAUGUGUUUAACAGUUUUCUGAAAAGUGUUUAUAGAAAACCAAAUCCUUUAUGUUAAUUCAGGCAAGGAGGGCAGCAGUCAUCUGCCUCAACAACUCAACAACAGGAAGGAUACACAGGAUAACUACAUGCCAUGUCAUUAUUUUUUGUUGUUAUUUUAUUGUCUGCAUCCUAUCCUUUGCUCCUCAGCACUACAUUGCCUCCCAAAGGCUGGGCAUGUGCUCUUUGCAUCUUUGCAUUGUCAGAGUGUAGUGAUGGUGUGAGAAAGAAUUAAAAACAAAACAAAAAAAGAAACAGAGAAGAUGCUAAAAUCAUGGAAAGUGGAUGAUCAUGGAAAGUACCUAAAGAAAAAACAAAACAAAAUUAAAAAAAAAAAUCAUGAAAGAAAGCUUAACAGUGGAGUUUAACAGAGGUGACUAAAGGCUUUGAACUGUGAAGCAGAUGAAAGUGUAUGGAAAAGCAUGUGACUUUGCCAUCUGUUUCUGUUCUUACCAGAAUAACCUCACAGAACCUGAAUUUUGGCAGGUCACCUAGACCUUAGUGAUGCAUACAAAGCCAAAUUACUUCUAGUCUUGUGGCAAAACUCCUACCAUUUUUGAAUAAAAAUUACAAAGCAUAAGACA